rnacentral:rRNA from 1 species
GACGAACGCUGGCGGCGCGCCUAACACAUGCAAGUCGAACGGAGCUGAGAGAAGCUUGCUUUUCUUAGCUUAGUGGCGAACGGGUGAGUAACGCGUGAGUAACCUGCCCUGGAGUGGGGGACAACAGUUGGAAACGACUGCUAAUACCGCAUAAGCCCACGAUCCGGCAUCGGAUUGAGGGAAAAGGAUUUAUUCGCUUCAGGAUGGACUCGCGUCCAAUUAGCUAGUUGGUGAGGUAACGGCCCACCAAGGCGACGAUUGGUAGCCGGACUGAGAGGUUGACCGGCACAAUUGGAACUGGGACACGGCCCGGACCCUAAGGGAGGGAAGCGUGGGGGAUAUUGCACAAUGGGGGAAACCCUGAUGCAGCGACGCCGCGUGGAGGAAGAAGGUUUUCGGAUUGUAAACUCCUGUCUUUAGGGACGAUAAUGACGGUACCUAACAAGAAAGCACCGGCUAACUACGUG